rnacentral:rRNA from 1 species
AGCAGCCGCGGUAAUUCCAGCUCCAAUAGCGUAUAUUAAAGUUGUUGCAGUUAAAAAGCUCGUAGUUGAAUUUCGGGAUCAGUACGCUGGUCGUGCCUUUGGUAUGUACUGGUGUCACUGAUUCCUCCCUUCUGAAGAACCGUUAUGCCAUUUAUUUGGUGUGGCGGGAAAUCAGGACUGUUACUUUGAAAAAAUUAGAGUGUUUAAAGCAGGCUCGCGCUUGAAUACAUUAGCAUGGAAUAAUGAAAUAGGACGUUUGAUUCUAUUUUGUUGGUUUCUAGGAUCGACGUAAUGAUUAAUAGGGAUAGUUGGGGGCAUUAGUAUUCAAUUGUCAGAGGUGAAAUUCUUGGAUUUAUUGAAGACUAACUACUGCGAAAGCAUUUGCCAAGGAUGUUUUCAUUAAUCAAGAACGAAAGUUAGGGGAUCGAAGACGAUCAGAUACCGUCGUAGUCUUAACCAUAAACUAUGCCGACUAGGGAUCGGAUGAUGUUAAU